rnacentral:tRNA from 1 species
ACUAGAUCGACGGGSCUUGRUCCCGCAAAAUUUUAAUUAACAACUAAACACCCUAUCCAGCGGGCUUCAAUCUA